rnacentral:rRNA from 1 species
GAUCCUGGCUCAGGAUGAACGCUAGCGACAGGCCUAACACAUGCAAGUCGAGGGGCAGCGGGGAGGUAGCAAUACCUUUGCCGGCGACCGGCGCACGGGUGAGUAACACGUAUGCAAUCACCUGUAACAGGGGGAUAACCCGGAGAAAUCCGGACUAAUACCCCAUAAUAUGGGCGCUCCGCAUGGAGAGCCCAUUAAAGAGAGCAAUUUUGGUUACAGACGAGCAUGCGCUCCAGUUAG